UACGUAGGAGGCGAGCGUUGUCCGGAUUUACUGGGCGUAAAGCGCGCGCAGGCGGCACUUCAAGUAAGGUGUGAAAUCUCCCUGCUCAACGGGGAGGGUGCACUUUAGACUGAGGAGCUAGAGGACGGUAGAGGGGGUGGAAUUGCUGGUGUAGCGGUGAAAUGCGUAGAGAUCAGCAGGAACACCCGUGGCGAAGGCGGCCCCCUGGGCCGUACCUGACGCUGAGGCGCGAAGGCUAGGGGAGCGAACGGG
rnacentral:rRNA from 1 species